rnacentral:rRNA from 1 species
AUUGAACGCUGGCGGCAUGCCUUACACAUGCAAGUCGAACGGCAGCGGGGGAGAAGCUUGCUUUUCCUGCCGGCGGGUGGCGAACGGGUGAGUAAUACAUCGGAACGUGCCCUGGAGGGGGGGAUAACUAGUCGAAAGAUUAGCUAAUUCCGCAUACGACCUGAGGGUGAAAGUUGGGGACCGCAAGGCCUCAUGCUAUAGGAGCGGCCGAUGUCUGAUUAGCUAGUUGGUGGGGUAAAGGCCUACCAAGGCGACGAUCAGUAGCUGGUCUGAGAGGACGAUCAGCCACACUGGGACUGAGACACGGCUCAGACUCCUACGGGAGGCAGCAGUGGGGAAUUUUGGACAAUGGGCGAAAGCCUGAUCCAGCAAUGCCGCGUGUGUGAAGAAGGCCUUCGGGUUGUAAAGCACUUUUGUCCGGAAAGAAAUGGCUCUGGUUAAUACCUGGGGUCGAUGACGGUACCGGAAGAAUAAGGACCGGCUAACUACGUGCCAGCAGCCGCAGUAAUAG